CUGGUACACCCAGCAUAACAUGUGUAAUUCCAAUUUUGACCUUCCAUAAAGCUGAUACAAAUUGAUAAUCCGUAAGCUCAAUACGGAUUGGCCAAUCCAUUAUCAGCUUUACAGAAAGGCAAAAGUGGAAUUGCACUGUUGUGCUGGGUGUACCAGCAAU
rnacentral:pre_miRNA from 1 species